rnacentral:rRNA from 1 species
AUGAAGAAUCUCCCCUAUCCUGUGAGCUACCGGUACGUGCCACAGAACGUUAGCUUGGAUUCUUAUGACAAACUGGUGGACCUGGUACACGAUCAGAAAUUCGACCUGGUCGUGGGAGACGUGACGGUGACCGCGAGCAGGAUGGCCGAAGUGGACUUCACGAUGCCAUUCACGGAGUCGGGGUGGUCGAUGGUGCACAGGCCUCUGGCUCGCCAGCCUCGGCUUCCUCUGCUUCACCGGCUUUGUCGUGUGGGUGAUCGAGCACCGGAUCAACCCGAGUUUCGAGGCACGCCCUGCCAGCAGUUCGGUCUCAUCUUCUACUUCGCCUUCUCGACCCUCACGUUCUCACACAGAGAGAAGCUUCAGAGCAAUCUGUCGAGGUUCAUCGUCAUCAUGUGGGUCUUCGUCGUCUUGAUCCUGACGUCGAGCUACACGGCGAGCCUGACGUCGAUGCUGACCGUCCAGAAGCUCCUGCCGACGGUGACCGACGUGAGGGAGCUCCAGAGAAACGGCCACUACAUAGGGUACCAGGAGGGCAGCUUCAUCGAAUCCUCGCUCCAGAAAAUGGGCUUCGACCAGAGCAGGAUGAGGAAGUACAAUUCGUCGAAGGGGUACGCAGACGCGCUAUCCAGAGGCUCGGCGAACGGCGGGGUCGCCGCGGUGUUCGACGAGAUCCCGUACCUGAAGCUCUUCCUGUCGGAAUACUGCAAGGACUACAUGAUGGUGGGGCCCAUCUACAAGACUGUCGGCCCAUCUACAGUGUUCCCGAAGGAUUCUCCAAUGACGGGGGACGUGUCGCGGGGCAUACUGACGCUGGCGGAACGAGAGAAGAUGUCCAAGAUCGAGAAGGCGUGGUUCGGGGAGCCGGAUGCGUGCCUGCAACAGAGCAGCGCCGAGGUAGCCCCGUCGUCCGGCCUAAGAUUCAUGAGCUUCGGGGGGAUAUUCCUCUUAACCGGCCUGGCCUCCGGCCUCACGCUGCUCGUCUACCUCGCCACCUUCGCCAUCCGCGAGCGCAGCGGGCUCCGAGCAGCCGAGGCCACCGCCGGCUCCGGGUCCGGGAGCCGCUGUGGAAAGCUGCGUGCGAGGCUGCAGCACUAUGACACGAGGGACCUCCGGUCCCCCACCUUCAGGACGCGGCACGACGAGUUCGCGAUGAACAGCGCCUGCGACUGCGCGAACCGGACGCCCACAUGGAACGACGAGAGCGUGAGGAACGGCGGGGCGAGUCCGUUCAGCGUGCGUGUCGACUCGGAGAUGAAUGCCGCGUCUUCUCUGGAGAACACGCCGGCGUCAGAGGCGGGCAACUCAUUGGAGCAGGGGGUUGAGGGGGCAACGACCUCUGUGGAGAUGGCCACGUCAACAGGAGAGCCUCAGCUGCACCGCUAG